AACGAACGCUGGCGGCAUGCCUAACACAUGCAAGUCGAACGAGACCUUCGGGUCUAGUGGCGCACGGGUGCGUAACGCGUGGGAACCUGCCCUUAGGUUCGGAAUAACUCCCCGAAAGGGGUGCUAAUACCGGAUAAUGUCUUCGGACCAAAGAUUUAUCGCCUUUGGAUGGGCCCGCGUUGGAUUAGCUAGUUGGUAGGGUAAAAGCCUACCAAGGCGACGAUCCAUAGCUGGUCUGAGAGGAUGAUCAGCCACACUGGGACUGAGACACGGCCCAGACUCCUACGGGAGGCAGCAGUGGGGAAUAUUGGACAAUGGGCGAAAGCCUGAUCCAGUAAUGCCGCGUGAGUGACGAAGGCCUUAGGGUUGUAAAGCUCUUUUACCCGGGAUGAUAAUGACAGUACCGGGAGAAUAAGCUCCGGCUAACUCCGUG
rnacentral:rRNA from 1 species